UACGUAGGGUGCAAGCGUUAAUCGGAAUUACUGGGCGUAAAGCGUGCGCAGGCGGUGAUGUAAGACAGGGGUGAAAUCCCCGGGCUCAACUUGGGAACUGCAUUUGUGACUGCAUCGCUGGAGUGCGGCAGAGGGGGAUGGAAUUCCGCGUGUAGCAGUGAAAUGCGUAGAUAUGCGGAGGAACACCGAUGGCGAAGGCAAUCCCCUGGGCCUGCACUGACGCUCAUGCACGAAAGCGUGGGGAGCAAACAGG
rnacentral:rRNA from 1 species